AGGUCAAGCUACAAAGGGCGCAUGGUGAAUGCCUUGGCAUCAGGAGCCGAUGAAGGACGCGAUAAGCUGCGAUAAGCUUCGGGUAGACGCACAUAGUCAGAGAUCCGAAGAUUUCCGAAUGAGGAAACUCACAUGGGAAACCCCAUGUAUCAUAAAGUGAAUACAUAGCUUUAUGAAGGUAUACCCAGGGAACUGAAACAUCUAAGUACCUGGAGGAAGAGAAAGAAAAAUCGAUUUUCUUAGUAGCGGCGAGCGAAAAGGAAAGAGCCCAAACCAGAGAUUUAUCUCUGGGGUUGCGGACAGAACAUAACGAGAAAUCAUAGUUAAUUGAACACAACUGGAAAGUUGGACCACAGUGGGUAAUAGUCCCGUAAGUGAAAACUAUGAUAAUCAGUUCUGCACCAGAGUACCACGAGACACGUGAAACCUUGUGG
rnacentral:rRNA from 1 species